rnacentral:lncRNA from 1 species
GGAACUUGUAUACCUUUAAUGGUUGCCUUGCAAACAAGAAUACUUCUAAAGCCUGAGCACAGUCUUGAAAUAAAAGCAUGCUUUGGGCAAAUAAUACUUUUAAUUGAGACAAAUUGACCCUUAGGAUCAAGCUAUUAAUGCCCAUUGUUCCUUCUCUAUCAUUAGCAGACAUCAGUAGGUGGAUCAGCAUAAAAGUAGCAAAUGAAUACUUUGUGUGGUAAUAACUGUACUAAAUCUGAAUAUUUCUUGAAACCAUUUGCACAACUAAAAUACCUGUGAUUUAGACAUCUCCUUGGAGUGCAAUUUUAAACUGUUGCUCCCUGGGCUUAGGAACCUGUAUGUGGUUUAUGACCCAGUUAGUUUAAAUUGAUUCUUUCCCUAUUGUACCCAAUUAGCAAUUAUGGUUUUCAGAGCCCAAAGAGGGGAGGUGUGUGUUGAUGGUAGAGAAUCAAAGUCAUUAAAUACAAAAACACAAACAAAAACAAAAUGAAAACAAAACCAACUUAGCCACCUCAGGAAAAUAUACUGUAAAGGUUGUUGGUUAAAUUAUUUGAACCACUAUUUUGUUUUAUAUAGCAAGUUUAUCUAUUUUUAAACCUUCUAUACAUGACAGUGUCAAUCGACAGUGGAAUGCUUAAGUUUGUCUAUAACACAACUUCCUUUCUCUUUCCCUUCACUUAGCCAAGUGUUGAUUUUGACAUUCCCUUUCUUCAGAAGACUGGGACUUUCUCAUGCUUCUCAUGCUCUAAGCCCUAUUUUCAGAUGCUCUUAAGCCACAGAGAAAAUUAUAUAUUGGGGAAUUUAUAUCCCAUAAAGGAUUGUGUAGCUGAGAAACUGGAUUGCAUGACUGACCAUGAUUUAGGACAGGGAAGGAAAAAUUGCCAGAAAUUGGAAACAAAAGGACUUGUGUAGAGAAGGUCACCUUUGAGAGACCAAAUCAUUCUGCAGUGCACAAGGUCAACCAGGGUGACACCACAGAGAAGAAACAAGGUGGUUAAAUACCCUGACUUCACUCUUCAUCUUCUCCAGGCUGAGCCUCUCUUAACUUUUUGGUAAGAAUUAUCCAAAACUUAGAAAUUAAGCAAGAGACGGAAUGAGAAUCUCUUCAAUAUCACAUUGGGGUAUUAUUUAACAAGUCCUUGUAAGAAUUAUUUAUUUCUUUAGGAGCAUUGAGCAGUAAUUGAUCUUGCUAUUUGCUGCUAAUUAUAGGACCAGACUGUGAAUGGAUGUUCAGUUGCAGAUUUUUGUCUGGUGGAGAUCAAGUUAUUUUUAUCUGAU